rnacentral:sRNA from 1 species
AGUAAUUUACUGGAAAGGAAGUUGAAUGGCUGAUGGAUAAAUAAUUCUAUUUUACACGUAAAAUGUAUACGCAUUUUCACAUAAAAUAGGAUUAGUCUGCCCAUUUAUACUUCCUUUAGCGAACUUAAAGGCUUAUUUACGUAUGAAUACUAAUCCUUCUGACUUUUUCAGAAGGAUUUUUUU